rnacentral:rRNA from 1 species
GACGAACGCUGGCGGCGUGCUUAACACAUGCAAGUCGAACGAUGAACCCGGAGCUUGCUCCGGUGGAUUAGUGGCGAACGGGUGGGUAACACGUGAGUAACCUGCCCUUGACUCUGGGAUAACUGCGGGAAACUGUAGCUAAUACCGGAUACGACCCUCGGCGGCAUCGCCAGGGGGUGGAAAGAAUUUCGGUCAAGGAUGGACUCGCGGCCUAUCAGCUAGUUGGUGAGGUAAUGGCUCACCAAGGCGACGACGGGUAGCCGGCCUGAGAGGGUGACCGGCCACACUGGCACUGAGACACGGCCCAGACUCCUACGGGAGGCAGCAGUGGGGAAUAUUGCACAAUGGGCGCAAGCCUGAUGCAGCAACGCCGCGUGAGGGACGACGGCC